GAUGAACGCUAGCGGGAGGCCUAACACAUGCAAGUCGAACGGGAUUGGUAGCUAUACCAUGAGAGUGGCGCACGGGUGAGUAACGCGUAUGCAACCUGCCUUUAACUGAGGGAUAGCCCAUAGAAAUGUGGAUUAAUACCUCAUAGUUCUGAGAAGCUGCAUGGUUUUUCAGAUAAAGCUCCGGCGGGUAAAGAUGGGCAUGCGUGACAUUAGCUAGUUGGUAAGGUAACGGCUUACCAAGGCUACGAUGUCUAGGGGUUCUGAGAGGAUGAUCCCCCACACUGGUACUGAGACACGGACCAGACUCCUACGGGAGGCAGCAGUGAGGAAUAUUGGUCAAUGGGCGCAAGCCUGAACCAGCCAUCCCGCGUGCAGGAUGACGGCCCUAUGGGUUGUAAACUGCUUUUGUACAGGAAGAAAAAUCCCUACGUGUAGGGACCUGCCGGUACUGUACGAAUAAGCAUCGGCUAACUCCGUGCCAGCAGCCGCAGUAAAAC
rnacentral:rRNA from 1 species